AUUCAGAAACUCUGUGACCGUGUAGCUUCAUCUACUUUAUUAGAUGAUCGAAGGGAUGCUGUACGUGCUCUCAAAUCAUUAUCAAAGAAAUAUCGCCUGGAGGUGGGGUUCCAGGCUAUGGAACAUCUUAUCAAUGUUCUCCAGACAGACCGUUCAGAUUCCGAAAUAAUUGGCUACGCUUUGGACACUCUCUUCAAUAUAGUAUCGAAUGAUCUAGAAGAGGAGGAACAAGACGAUUUGGAAGAAGAAAAUCCACAAAAACAGGUUGAUGAUCUGGGAAGGCAGUUUACAGAAAUCUUCAUUAAACAGCAAGAAAAUGUCACUCUCCUGUUGACCUUUCUAGAGGAAUUUGACUUCCAGGUUCGCUGGCCUGGAGUGAAACUUCUUACGUCAUUGUUAAAGCAGCAAGGACCCCAGGUGCAGCAGAUAAUUCUUGUCAGUCCCAUGGGUGUCUCGAGGCUCAUGGAUUUACUCGCAGACUCUCGGGAGGUGAUACGGAAUGACGGAGUCUUGUUACUGCAGCAGCUGACAAAAAGCAACGCCGCCAUUCAGAAAAUAGUCGCUUUUGAAAAUGCCUUUGAGAGACUGCUGGAUAUCGUAACAGAUGAAGGGAACAGCGAUGGAGGAAUAGUAGUGGAAGACUGUCUUCUCCUGUUACAAAAUUUGUUAAAGAACAAUAAUUCCAAUCAGAAUUUCUUUAAAGAAGGUUCAUACAUUCAGCGUAUGAAACCUUGGUUUGAAGUUGGAGAUGACAACUCUGGUUGGUCGGCACAGAAAGUAACUAAUCUUCAUCUAAUGUUACAGCUUGUGCGGGUGUUGGUGUCCCCCACAAACCCACCUGGUGCCACCAGCAGUUGUCAAAAAACCAUGUUUCAUUGUGGGUUAUUACAGCAGCUCUGCACGAUCCUGAUGGCAACGGGUGUUCCUGCCGACAUUCUGACCGAGACCAUCAACACUGUGUCAGAAGUCAUUCGAGGAUGCCAAAUAAACCAAGACUACUUUGCUUCUGUAAAUGCACCUUCAAAUCCACCAAGGUCUGCAAUCGUAGUACUUCUGAUGUCCAUGGUGAAUGAAAGGCAACCAUUUGUACUGCGCUGUGCUGUCCUUUACUGUUUCCAGUGUUUCUUAUACAAAAACCAAAAAGGACAAGGGGAAAUCGUUUCAACACUUCUCCCGUCAACCAUAGAUGCUACAGGUAAUUCUGUGUCGGCUGGCCAGCUGCUCUGUGGCGGACUCUUUUCCACGGACUCUCUCUCAAACUGGUGUGCCGCCGUGGCCCUGGCCCAUGCUUUACAAGAUAACGCAACUCUGAAAGAGCAACUGCUAAGAGUUCAGCUUGCAACAAGUAUUGGUAACCCUCCAGUGUCUUUGCUGCAACAAUGCACCAACAUUCUUUCACAGGGUGAUAAGAUCGACAGACGGGGCAGCAAAGUGCAGACAAGAGUUGGAUUAUUAAUGCUGCUUUGUACCUGGUUAAGCGAUUGUCCAAUUGCUGUCACACACUUUCUCCACAACUCGGCCAAUAUUCCAUUUCUCACUGGGCAGAUAGCCGAAAACCUUGGAGAAGAGGAGCAGUUAGUUCAAGGCCUGUGUGCGCUUUUGCUGGGCAUUUGCAUUUAUUACAAUGACAAUUCCCUCGAAAAUUGUAGGAAAGAGAAACUAAAACAGCUGAUCGAGAAGAGGAUUGGCAAGGAGAACUUCAUCGAGAAACUAGGUUUCAUUAGCAAACAUGAACUGUAUUCCAAAGCUGCUCAGAAACCUCAGCCUAGUUUUUCUAGCGCAGACCACAUGAUGUUUGAUCACGAAUUUACUAAACUGGUAAAGGAAUUGGAGGGUAUCAUAACUAAAGCUAUUUACAAGUCCAGUGAAGAAGACAAACAGGAAGAGGAGGUGAAGAAGACGUUGGAACAGCAUGACAACAUUGUGACCCACUAUAAAAAAGUCAUUAGAGAGCAGGAUCAGCAGCUCGAAGAGUUAAAGCAGAAAGUUAAUACUUUAAAAUCUCAGAACGAACAGCUUCAGACAGCAGUUACGCAGCAAAUGUCUCAAAUCCAGCAGCACAAGGACCAGUAUAAUCUCCUUAAAGUACAGCUAGGAAAGGACAAUCAGCAUCACAGUUCCCACAGCGAUAUGCUUCAGAUGAAUGGCAUUCAGCCGGAAGAAAUCAGCAAAUUGCGACAGGAGAUAGAAGAAUUGAAAAAUAAGCAUGAAGUGUUACAGGGACAGCUGAGAGAAAAGGAUUCUGUGAUUGAAAACAUGAAGUCUUUGCAGUCAGAAACAGGAACAACUGAGCAAUCCUCACAGAUAACUGCUGGAUUGGAGCAUGCUAAUGAACUACAUAGGGAACUAGAAGCCUUGAGGAUCCAGAUACAGUCACAGUCUUCGGACAUCUCUAAACUUCAGUCUGAGAAACAGGAGCUGCUACAACAAAUGGUAAUUCAGUAGGACUCUUGCAGCCUUUCCUGAUCCCGGCCCUAUUGAUUAAACUGUAGAAAAAUGUUUUUCACUCUUUUCACUUUGUCGUCAUUCAUAACAAUAAGGGCCUGUUCAGAACCAAGCCCUACUGCUGGGGAAAAGCACAAGUACUAAGCUGAAAUAUUUUAAAGGUUUAAUAUUGAGUUUUAGGACAAUAUAGCACCACCUUCAUCAAGCCUAAAGCAUCAGUAAAGCAGAUAGAGUAGAAUAGUGUAAUGAUGAACUGCCCACUCCUGGGGCACAGGUAGACUGUUUCUGGCAUCAUAUCCAUACUGGUCUGAUCUGGUGUAAAUCCUCAGUUGUCAAACCCCUUUUGUUAAACACACUUCCUUUAUUUCUUGUCUCUUAACAUCACAUAGGUGCAGAUUAUUAAAUAUCUAUCAACAUUCUGUUCUAAAUAUAUGUCUCACACAGUAACCCAAAAUCCUUUUAAACUGAUAGAUUUUUACUUCUCUUGCUAAAACUCUUAAUUGGUACCUCCUUAUCUGUCUGUUUUUAGCCGUCACUAUCUUCCUCCUUACUCAGUCCAGCUGUCUUUUCCUUGCUUUCCUGUAUUCCCUCAUUUCUGACAACAGCUGUCUCACUCUUACGUAUCUGCUUCUUGUGGCCUUGGAGUUACGGGUUGGCUAGUUCUGCUCAGUCAAUAUCCAUCCUCUCUAAUCGGUUUUCCUAGGGAGGUUUGCAUGUGGCUGGUAAAUCACACAUUUGUCGGGUUUGCUUUGCCCUGUUAUCUACACAGUCCAAGAAUCCACUGUAGAUAAGACACAAACCAACUUUCUGAUUUUUUUACAACCUUUGAAAGCUGUGUCAACAAGACACGUGCAGAAAGCAGAAAAGUUCCCUUUUACAUGUUCUUAAGACUGUUGAUUAUACACACACGCAAAUACACACACACACUUCUCUAACAUUAUUUAAUAUACAUUUAUCUGACACAAUUCAUUAUAUAUUUCUUUACACUACCUUGAUGUAACUCCACGAACUUCAGUGAAAUGCUGAGUCCGUAUUUUCCUCUCAUUUCAGUCAAUAUACUGAUGAGAUAAAUACCAGUCAGUUAUCAGUUGAUACCUAAUAAGAGCUGGAGGAAUAUGCUUUCACAGAACCAGUGCAUGUGUUACACCAUUGCACACUUGUAUCAUUUAAGAAGCCAGGGGAAAGUGGUGUAAUAUUUUAAACUCAUACUGUACAUAACAAGGUCAGAAAAAGUGUCAUCAGUGUGUUUAUUCCUGAAUCUGUUGCCUGUACCAUACGACACUUAAGUGUGGUUUAAUGGAUGUAAUCUUGUUACACAAUUGAGUGGGCAAUAAUUAUUUAAAAUGUGUAAGAAAAGUGGACAUGUAAUUAUGAAUGAGAUUUAAAAAGACUAGCAGGCACAACAGUGUAAUACUUACAUUUAACUGGCAAUUCGUUGGCUUUGGAAAAAGUAAUUACAUUGGCUUGGUCAUCAUAUAGGGCUUCACCAGCAAAUCUUCUACAUGUGAAACUGCCAAAACUCCAGGAGAGUUGGGAGGUUUUACAGAUUGGGGCCACUGUUCCCACUUUGCCUGCCCUGCUGUUGUAUUAACCAUGUAGUUACUUAGAACUUUAAGAGAUGAAUUUUAGACCCUGAGUUUAGAGAUCACACUGAUAUACAAGAAUCUAUCAUUGUCUGUAGUUUCAUGGCAAAGCUUAUACAGUUACUGUAAGGGAAGCAUUAACCAGACAAUUUACAACUAAAGGAACUGCAUCAUAUGAUAUCCAGUACCUGGGCACAACAUAGGUGUCCACUUAAACGGCUUUCUUAUGCUUCUGCAGUAAUCGGGUCUGGAGGUGGCUUGUGAUAGUUGGCUUCCUCAAGGAAGAAUCUGCUUUCAGGCAGUUCUUCGCCUUACUAGUGUCUGUUACUUCUGCCAUUGUAAGGAGUAAUAGAAGAGUCAUUUAUGGGAGUAACCAAACUGGGGCUUAUUUAAAUUUGUUGGGAGAGAAGCUGGAUGUUUGGGAAUUUUAAACCGUCUCCUCAGCAACCAAAAUCCCAGCUGCUCUAGUUCAUCUCACUCAACAUUUGUUCAUUCUGCACAGUGGUGACCGUGGCAGUGUACUGCCCAUUACAGCUCUCCCUGUACACAUCUGACCUGACAGCAUCAGCACCAUACAGGAGUUUUAAGAACAUAAGAACGGCCAUACUGGGUCAGAGCAAUGGUCUGUCUAGCCCAGUAUCCUGUCUUCUGACAGUGGUCAAUGCCUGAUGCCCCAGAGGGAAUUAACAGAACAGGGAAUCAUUGAGUGAUUAGGUGUUGUUAUCCUUUGUUUCCCCCAGUAACAGCUUUUCUUUUCUCUCCUCCCAAGAGAGACAUACAUAUGGGAAAAGCUCAGAACUGAAAAACUCCUGUCAACAAUGCCUGCUCUUCCUAGCGCCCUGGCUAGCGCCUGGUGCCAGAAACAAAAUGGCUGCCUGGCCUGUCUGCUCUGUGGGAUGUGCUUAUGGAAUGCCAACCAGCCUGCAUCUCAGAAGCCCUUAUCGUGGCUGUACAGAAACCUGUUGCUGUUUUAAGUGCUAUCAUAUGCAAGUUUCCAUUUGUGAGCUGUCCAUUGUCUGACAGUGUAUAGAGCCCCUCAGAGCAGGACCUGUCUUUGAUUUUGUCUGAGCACACACAGUUCCGGCACGUUGGCUAUAUGGUGGGAAGAAGUCUACAAUUGGAUGAGUGAAAAUUACAUUGACCACUGUGUGUAUGAUUGAAACACUAACUGUUCCUGGUAUUGAAUAUCUAUUCCACAGACUACAGCUUCAGUUCCUGCUCUGGGCGACAGCGUUGCUGUAAUAGCAACAAAGAACAGUGAAUUGGAGGGCAGAUUGUUGCAAGAGAUAAAAGAAUUGAAGAGUGAAGUUAAAGCGCUUUCUGAGGAAAAAGCAUUGCUAAAGCAGCAUCUGGACUCAAGCAACAGUACAGCUGCCGUCUUGCAAGAUGAGAAGAGCAAACUCCAACAAGAAGUGGCAGAAUCGAAAAAAGAACAGGACGACCUCCUGGUACUUCUCGCCGAUCAGGAUCAGAAAAUAUUUGCACUAAAGAACAAGCUCAAGGAACUUGGGCAACCGGUGGAAGAUGAGGAUGAUAUUGAAUCUGGAGACCAAGCUGAUGAAGAUGAAGAAGAGGAUGGGGAAGAGGAAGACUAAUAGUGCUUUAGUGUCACCGUGAGAAAAUUAGAGGUUGCAUUGUAAUACAAAAUUAAACUAAUGCUGUUGACCUACAACGUAAAACAUCCACUUACGGAAGCAAAUGGGGAAAUAAUGUUCUGGUUUUCUGAAGUGAAGUGUUUGGAAACCAUCAUAGGUGAAACAAAAAUCACUGUUAAGUUAAACAAAAGUAUCCCAACUUCUAACCGUUUAGAAGCCGCUUUAGACACUGGUUAAAGCAUGAGGGUGACAAUGCUACUGCCUUAGUUCAUUGUCGUUUACAGAAGUUCUGUGCAUUUGUCUAUCAUUUUAAUGUUUCUUUGGAACUCUAAGGUGAUUAAAUACAUAUGUAUUUGGUUUAA